ACCGGAUAAUAUUUUGAACCGCAUGGUUCAAAAGUGAAAGACGGUCUUGCUGUCACUUAUAGAUGGAUCCGCGCUGCAUUAGCUAGUUGGUAAGGUAACGGCUUACCAAGGCAACGAUGCAUAGCCGACCUGAGAGGGUGAUCGGCCACACUGGAACUGAGACACGGUCCAGACUCCUACGGGAGGCAGCAGUAGGGAAUCUUCCGCAAUGGGCGAAAGCCUGACGGAGCAACGCCGCGUGAGUGAUGAAGGUCUUCGGAUCGUAAAACUCUGUUAUUAGGGAAGAACAUAUGUGUAAGUAACUGUGCACAUCUUGACGGUACCUAAUCAGAAAGCCACGGCUAACUACGUGCCAGCAGCCGCGGUAAUACGUAGGUGGCAAGCGUUAUCCGGAAUUAUUGGGCGUAAAGCGCGCGUAGGCGGUUUUUUAAGUCUGAUGUGAAAGCCCACGGCUCAACCGUGGAGGGUCAUUGGAAACUGGAAAACUUGAGUGCAGAAGAGGAAAGUGGAAUUCCAUGUGUAGCGGUGAAAUGCGCAGAGAUAUGGAGGAACACCAGUGGCGAAGGCGACUUUCUGGUCUGUAACUGACGCUGAUGUGCGAAAGCGUGGGGAUCAAACAGGAUUAGAUACCCUGGUAGUCCACGCCGUAAACGAUGAGUGCUAAGUGUUAGGGGGUUUCCGCCCCUUAGUGCUGCAGCUAACGCAUUAAGCACUCCGCCUGGGGAGUACGACCGCAAGGUUGAAACUCAAAGGAAUUGACGGGGACCCGCACAAGCGGUGGAGCAUGUGGUUUAAUUCGAAGCAACGCGAAGAACCUUACCAAAUCUUGACAUCCUUUGACAACUCUAGAGAUAGAGCCUUCCCCUUCGGGGGACAAAGUGACAGGUGGUGCAUGGUUGUCGUCAGCUCGUGUCGUGAGAUGUUGGGUUAAGUCCCGCAACGAGCGCAACCCUUAAGCUUAGUUGCCAUCAUUAAGUUGGGCACUCUAAGUUGACUGCCGGUGACAAACCGGAGGAAGGUGGGGAUGACGUCAAAUCAUCAUGCCCCUUAUGAUUUGGGCUACACACGUGCUACAAUGGACAAUACAAAGGGCAGCGAAACCGCGAGGUCAAGCAAAUCCCAUAAAGUUGUUCUCAGUUCGGAUUGUAGUCUGCAACUCGACUACAUGAAGCUGGAAUCGCUAGUAAUCGUAGAUCAGCAUGCUACGGUGAAUACGUUCCCGGGUCUUGUACACACCGCCCGUCACACCACGAGAGUUUGUAACACCCGAAGCCGGUGGAGUAACCUUUUAGGAGCUAGCCGUCGAAGGUGGGACAAAUGAUUGGGGUGAAGUCGUAACAAGGUAGCCGUAUCGGAAGGUGCGGCUGGAUCACCU
rnacentral:rRNA from 1 species